GGGUUGUGAGGUUAAGCGACUAAGCGUACACGGUGGAUGCCCUGGCAGUCAGAGGCGAUGAAGGACGUGCUAAUCUGCGAUAAGCGUCGGUAAGGUGAUAUGAACCGUUAUAACCGGCGAUUUCCGAAUGGGGAAACCCAGUGUGUUUCGACACACUAUCAUUAACUGAAUCCAUAGGUUAAUGAGGCGAACCGGGGGAACUGAAACAUCUAAGUACCCCGAGGAAAAGAAAUCAACCGAGAUUCCCCCAGUAGCGGCGAGCGAACGGGGAGGAGCCCAGAGCCUGAAUCAGUGUGUGUGUUAGUGGAAGCGUCUGGAAAGGCGCGCGAUACAGGGUGACAGCCCCGUACACAAAAAUGCACAUGCUGUGAGCUCGAUGAGUAGGGCGGGACACGUGGUAUCCUGUCUGAAUAUGGGGGGACCAUCCUCCAAGGCUAAAUACUCCUGACUGACCGAUAGUGAACCAGUACCGUGAGGGAAAGGCGAAAAGAACCCCGGCGAGGGGAGUGAAAAAGAACCUGAAACCGUGUACGUACAAGCAGUGGGAGCACGCUUAGGCGUGUGACUGCGUACCUUUUGUAUAAUGGGUCAGCGACUUAUAUUCUGUAGCAAGGUUAACCGAAUAGGGGAGCCGAAGGGAAACCGAGUCUUAACUGGGCGUUAAGUUGCAGGGUAUAGACCCGAAACCCGGUGAUCUAGCCAUGGGCAGGUUGAAGGUUGGGUAACACUAACUGGAGGACCGAACCGACUAAUGUUGAAAAAUUAGCGGAUGACUUGUGGCUGGGGGUGAAAGGCCAAUCAAACCGGGAGAUAGCUGGUUCUCCCCGAAAGCUAUUUAGGUAGCGCCUCGUGAAUUCAUCUCCGGGGGUAGAGCACUGUUUCGGCAAGGGGGUCAUCCCGACUUACCAACCCGAUGCAAACUGCGAAUACCGGAGAAUGUUAUCACGGGAGACACACGGCGGGUGCUAACGUCCGUCGUGAAGAGGGAAACAACCCAGACCGCCAGCUAAGGUCCCAAAGUCAUGGUUAAGUGGGAAACGAUGUGGGAAGGCCCAGACAGCCAGGAUGUUGGCUUAGAAGCAGCCAUCAUUUAAAGAAAGCGUAAUAGCUCACUGGUCGAGUCGGCCUGCGCGGAAGAUGUAACGGGGCUAAACCAUGCACCGAAGCUGCGGCAGCGACGCUUAUGCGUUGUUGGGUAGGGGAGCGUUCUGUAAGCCUGUGAAGGUGUACUGUGAGGUAUGCUGGAGGUAUCAGAAGUGCGAAUGCUGACAUAAGUAACGAUAAAGCGGGUGAAAAGCCCGCUCGCCGGAAGACCAAGGGUUCCUGUCCAACGUUAAUCGGGGCAGGGUGAGUCGACCCCUAAGGCGAGGCCGAAAGGCGUAGUCGAUGGGAAACAGGUUAAUAUUCCUGUACUUGGUGUUACUGCGAAGGGGGGACGGAGAAGGCUAUGUUGGCCGGGCGACGGUUGUCCCGGUUUAAGCGUGUAGGCUGGUUUUCCAGGCAAAUCCGGAAAAUCAAGGCUGAGGCGUGAUGACGAGGCACUACGGUGCUGAAGCAACAAAUGCCCUGCUUCCAGGAAAAGCCUCUAAGCAUCAGGUAACAUCAAAUCGUACCCCAAACCGACACAGGUGGUCAGGUAGAGAAUACCAAGGCGCUUGAGAGAACUCGGGUGAAGGAACUAGGCAAAAUGGUGCCGUAACUUCGGGAGAAGGCACGCUGAUAUGUAGGUGAAGUGAUUUACUCAUGGAGCUGAAAUCAGUCGAAGAUACCAGCUGGCUGCAACUGUUUAUUAAAAACACAGCACUGUGCAAACACGAAAGUGGACGUAUACGGUGUGACGCCUGCCCGGUGCCGGAAGGUUAAUUGAUGGGGUCAGCGCAAGCGAAGCUCUUGAUCGAAGCCCCGGUAAACGGCGGCCGUAACUAUAACGGUCCUAAGGUAGCGAAAUUCCUUGUCGGGUAAGUUCCGACCUGCACGAAUGGCGUAAUGAUGGCCAGGCUGUCUCCACCCGAGACUCAGUGAAAUUGAACUCGCUGUGAAGAUGCAGUGUACCCGCGGCAAGACGGAAAGACCCCGUGAACCUUUACUAUAGCUUGACACUGAACAUUGAGCCUUGAUGUGUAGGAUAGGUGGGAGGCUUUGAAGUGUGGACGCCAGUCUGCAUGGAGCCGACCUUGAAAUACCACCCUUUAAUGUUUGAUGUUCUAACGUGGACCCGUAAUCCGGGUUGCGGACAGUGUCUGGUGGGUAGUUUGACUGGGGCGGUCUCCUCCUAAAGAGUAACGGAGGAGCACGAAGGUUGGCUAAUCCUGGUCGGACAUCAGGAGGUUAGUGCAAUGGCAUAAGCCAGCUUGACUGCGAGCGUGACGGCGCGAGCAGGUGCGAAAGCAGGUCAUAGUGAUCCGGUGGUUCUGAAUGGAAGGGCCAUCGCUCAACGGAUAAAAGGUACUCCGGGGAUAACAGGCUGAUACCGCCCAAGAGUUCAUAUCGACGGCGGUGUUUGGCACCUCGAUGUCGGCUCAUCACAUCCUGGGGCUGAAGUAGGUCCCAAGGGUAUGGCUGUUCGCCAUUUAAAGUGGUACGCGAGCUGGGUUUAGAACGUCGUGAGACAGUUCGGUCCCUAUCUGCCGUGGGCGCUGGAGAAUUGAGGGGGGCUGCUCCUAGUACGAGAGGACCGGAGUGGACGCAUCACUGGUGUUCGGGUUGUCAUGCCAAUGGCACUGCCCGGUAGCUAAAUGCGGAAGAGAUAAGUGCUGAAAGCAUCUAAGCACGAAACUUGCCCCGAGAUGAGUUCUCCCUGACUCCUUGAGAGUCCUGAAGGAACGUUGAAGACGACGACGUUGAUAGGCCGGGUGUGUAAGCGCAGCGAUGCGUUGAGCUAACCGGUACUAAUGAACCGUGAGGCUUAACCUUACAACGCCGAAGGUGUUU
rnacentral:rRNA from 1 species